UGGGAAUUUUGGACAAUGGGCGAAAGCCUGAUCCAGCAAUGCCGCGUGUGUGAAGAAGGCCUUCGGGUUGUAAAGCACUUUUGUCCGGAAAGAAAUCCUUGGCUCUAAUACAGUCGGGGGAUGACGGUACCGGAAGAAUAAGCACCGGCUAACUACGUGCCAGCAGCCGCGGUAAUACGUAGGGUGCAAGCGUUAAUCGGAAUUACUGGGCGUAAAGCGUGCGCGGGCGGUUUGCUAAGACCGAUGUGAAAUCCCCGGGCUCAACCUGGGAACUGCAUUGGUGACUGGCAGGCUAGAGUAUGGCAGAGGGGGGUAGAAUUCCACGUGUAGCAGUGAAAUGCGUAGAGAUGUGGAGGAAUACCGAUGGCGAAGGCAGCCCCCUGGGCCAAUACUGACGCUCAUGCACGAAAGCGUGGGGAGCAAACAGGAUUAGAUA
rnacentral:rRNA from 1 species